GACGAACGCUGGCGGCGUGCCUAACACAUGCAAGUCUGACGGGAAAGUCUCCUUCGGGAGACGAGUACAGUGGCGGACGGGUGAGUAACGCGUGGGAAUCUACCCGGGAGUGGGGGAUAACCCUCCGAAAGGAGGGCUAAUACCGCAUAUGUCCUACGGGGCAAAGAUGGCCUCUUUACAAUGCUAAUCGCUUUCGGAUGAGCCCGCGUCCUAUUAGCUAGUUGGUGAGGUAAUGGCUCACCAAGGCGACGGAUGGGGUAGCCGGUCUGAGAGGAUGAACGGCCACAAUGGGACUGAGACACGGCCCAUACUCCUACGGGAGGCAGCAGUAGGGAAUCUUGCGCAAUGGACGGAAGUCUGACGCAGCAACGCCACGUGUGGGACGACGCCUUUCGGGGUGUAAACCACUGUUAGCAGGGACUAGCCUACGACGUAGGUCGUACCGAAUGUACCUGCAGAGAAAGCACCGGCAAACUCGUG
rnacentral:rRNA from 1 species